GACGAACGCUGGCGGCGUGCUUAACACAUGCAAGUCGAACGGAAAGGCCCGGCUCUUGCGGGGUGCUCGAGAGGCGAACGGGGGAGUAACACGUGAGUAACCUGCCCCUGACUUUGGGAUAACUCCAGGAAACUGGGGCUAAUACCGGAUAGGAGCUCCUGCUGCACGGUGGGGGUUGGAAAGUGUCGGCGGUUGGGGCUGGACUCGCGGCUUAUCCGCUUGUUGGGGGGGUAGUGGCUUACCACGGCUUUGACGGGUAGCCGGCCUGAGAGGGUGGCCGGCCACAUUGGGACUGAGGUACGGCCCAGUCUCCUACGGGACGCAGCAGUGGGGAAUCUUGCGGAAUGGGCGGAAGCCUGAUGCAGCGACGCCGCGUGCGGGAUGCCGGCCUUCGGGUUGUAAACCACUUUCGCCUGUGACGAAGCGUGAGUGACGGUAAUUGGUAAAGAAGCACCGGCUAACUACGUG
rnacentral:rRNA from 1 species